GAAUUUUGUUUUAAUUCAAAUUCCAUACUUUGAGUCAUUUAUCAUCGUUCUUUCCUCGUUGUACUCUUCCGCAUGUCAUCAACGCUGAUGCAUUAGCACUGAUGUGAAAAUGAAAAAAUCUAUUACAAAUCGAAGAAGGUAGUACCGACCAGGCCAGCACCUUAACCCUAUCAUCAUCAUGGUCAUCUUCAGUCUCACCAAGUCGCUUCGCAAAGCCGGCAGCCGUGAUCUCCUCUGUCUCCUCAACAUUGAUCCAAACCAUAUUCGUCUGAAUUCUUCCAACGUCGACUUUAAAGACGUCAGACCCUAGUUCGGUGAUGGCCUCCAUCAUCGCGAGUGCUCUCUCAUGAUCUUUGACCAGUUUGAAGCGGUUCUCCAAUGCCACGAAGCCACAAGCAGCUAGCACACCCACCUGACGCAUUCCGCCUCCCAGAGCCUUCCUGGCUCUUCUCGCCUGAGCGAUGAAAUCCUUGGAACCACUCAGCAUGGAACCAACUGGAGCCCCCAGUUUAGUCAGACAGAAAGAUACCGAGUCGAACCCAUCUACGAUCUCCCUGAUCGGGGUUUUGGUGAUCAUCGCCGAGUGCCAGACCCUCGAACCGUCCAUGUGCAGCUUCAAUCCAUGUGUCUUCCCAAACUCCACGACCUCCUUGAGAAAUGCCACGGGUAUGAUGUUCCCAUCGGCCGUGUUCUCCAGUGAAAUCAUGCGGGAGAUGGAGCUUUGGACGAAUGCUGGAUUCCUGAGCCGCCGUCUUAAUUUUUCUAGGUCAAAUGUACCGUCCGGAUUCGUCGGGAAUGGGCAAAGGGUGACGCCUGCUAUUUGGGCAGCACAUCCCUGUUCGUGAAGCACCAGGUGGGAAUUCUCGCCGGCGUACAUCUCGCAGCCACGAGUAUCACAAUGCACCAUGACUGACCGGGAGAAUCAACCAAUCAAUCAAUAUUGGAAACUUUGCGAAGUUAAUCUAUUUUUUUCAUUUAACCGAUUUUUGAGAAAGUGAGGAAAAGGGUUCAUUGGAGAUACAUACUGGAGACCAAAUUUGCCAUUGUUCCACUUGUCGUAAACAACGCAGCCUCCUUGCCCAUCAACUCAGCAACAUAUUGUUCAAGCUCUAGAGAGAUAACUUAAUUAAAAAUAGGGUUAAAGUUGCACGUUUUUAAUGCAGAUGAAUAAAAGUCCGAGAUAAACGAAUUUCUGGUAAUAUGAUUAUGAAAAUGGUUUCGCCUGUUUCACUUUGAAUUCUUGGUGAAAUGACUCUGCUUUUUUGAGAGACGCAUGCAAUGUGUUAGCAUUCACGAGAGCAAGAUUAUAUUCCAUGUUAACAAACUUUACUCUAUAGACAAGAGUAACAUAAAUAUUUACAUAUCUCCUUCAGACCGGAAGAAAUUAUAUUAAAAAUUGACCCCGAAUUGAAGUUCAGUCAGACUUAUUUCAUCAUCCUAUUCUUGCAACAGCAACUAAUAAGGCAGUGUGAUUUUCCUCAAUUAGAAAAGAAGGAAAUAAGUUUACUGAUAACUGUUGGGUCUUCUUGAUACACGUCAUCCCCGACUUCGGCGUCGAACAUGGCUUGUCUCAUCACGAAACAUGGUUUUGUGAUUGUGUCAGUUCGUAAAUCGACAAUCAUCAUCUGUAAUCAGAACUUCAUGGUGCAGACUUCUUAUUGAAAGGUUUGUAUGGCGUAAAUAGAGUAACUCUUCCGUAUGAGUGUGUAUUGCAAGAAUUCCCUCGGUUUUCUUGAUAAUUCGAUGACGUUAGAAAACUCUCCUUACCCUGGUGAAAAACUCACGAAAUGAUUCUCCGGUUCAUCAAGAAUGCAACCCUGCUAUCUUGUGAUGUCACAAAAUACUGGAAAAUUAUCUCCAUACUUGACAAACAAAGUAUGAGAUGCAUUCUUUAUUGCAAAUAAACUUUUACCAUUUGUGCCUCACAAAUAAUCAUCUGACAUUAACGAACGUUGGCAAAUGUGUAAUAUGGCAACUAUGUGAUUUAAUACAUCACAUUUAACAUAAUUAUGCAAUUAAUUCACUUGCACUUAGGAUCCAUCUUCCUAAUCACAUAUCUAAUUUUCCUCUGUGCAGCCUCGGCUUCUUCCUGAGAAACAUCCAAAUGGAAGGAUAGUCUAACAGUCCUGGGUUGCACAGACCAAGCUAAGACCCUGACCUGAUCAUCCUCAUGCUCAUCCACAACCUCUCCAAGUCGUUUUGCUAGCUUGGGUGCAGUGAUCUCAUUGGUUUCUUCGACAGUGAUCCAAGCCAUGUUGGUCUGUGCAUCGAUGGGAUGUACUUUAAAAAUAUCAGACUCCAAUUCGUUGAUAGCGUUCAUCAUGGCAACAGCUUUCAGAUGGUCAUUGAUAAGAUUAGGGAGGUUGUUCAGUGCCACGAACCCACAAGCAGCUAGAACUCCGACUUGACGCAUUCCACCUCCUAGAGCUUUUCUCGUUCUUCUCGCCUGAAUGAUGAAUUCCCUGGAACCACAGAGCAUCGAUCCUACUGGGGUACCUAUCUUACUCAAACAGAAGGUCACUGAGUCAAAGCCCUCGACCAUUUCUUUGAUGGGAAUCCCGCCGAUUAUCGAGGCGUACCAUAUCCUCGCACCGUCCAUGUGAAGUUUCAGUUUGUGUUCCUUGCUAAAUGCCACCACCUCCUUGAUCCAUUUCAUCGGUAAUAUCUUGCCAUUUAGAGUGUUCUCCACUCCAAUCAUCCGGGAAAUUGGGCUGUGGUAAUUGUCAGGAUCUCUUAACUUUAAUUUCAGUUUUUGCAGGUCGAAUGUACCAUCACGAUUGUUCGGAAGGGGGCAGAUGGUAAUGUUAGCUAUUUGAGCUGCUGAUCCUUGCUCGUGGUGCACAAUGUGCGAGUCCUCGCCGAUGUAGAUUUCACAGCCACGAAUGUUACAAUGCACCAUCACUAUAUAGAGAAAAAGUGCCUUUGGGGGUAGAUGACAUUAUGGGCGUCAACUUACUGGAGAUUAGAUUUCCCAUCGUUCCACUUGAUACAAAUAGUGCGUCUUCCAUUCCCAGUAACUCCGCAACAUAUUUCUCUAAUCCUGGAGAGAGUAGGAAUUCUAAAUCAUUAGUUUUCUGCUAACGAAGACUUUUAGCAUUACUAUGGCAAGAAUGACAAUGGAUUUACUUAUUA